UUGUUGUGUUCAAAAAUGAAGAAACGCCGGACGGACAGAGGUCAUCGCAGAUCAAAAGGUUAAAUCAAAUGUAUUUAAUAAAAGAGAUGGUGUUGUGGUAAAAAGAACAUCUCAGCUGAGGAGCCGCUGGUCUCAGCAACCAACAGGCCCCAUCCCUAGUGCCCGUCUGUAGCCUCCACCAGCGAACUCGAGAACAAUGGUUCCUACAGGUAUUUAUAACAAUGCUUAAAGGUGUGAAAGUUAGUGUCCACACCUCUGGGAGUGGUCUUCUGGUGAGUUCAAUGUAACUCGGAUUUCGAAUGACCCUUAUUCAAUAUCAGUUGUUGUGCAAGUACUACAUGCAUGCAUUCCAGGUGAUUACAUUACAUCAAAUACAAUCAUAACUACAUUGGUAUUAUUCUAGUACAGCUGCAGAAUUACAGUGGUUUUACAAUAUUGUCAUUACUUUAUUGAUUACACAGUUUCAGAAUCAGGGCUGUAUUUUGGUGUACACUAUAUGCAUUUUUAUUAAUUUUAUGAACCGGAUCGUCAAUUUGUUUCUAAUAUCCUACAGCCUCCAUCAUUACAGUCAAUUUGCUGACCUUUGUAACUACUUUCACAAGUGGUCGAGCAUUUGCAGUAUCAGUCACUAAAACUUCAAACAAUGUUAUAUUGUAACAUAUAAACUUCAAAAUCAGAAUGUGAAGCUCAACCCCGGUGAUAUCAACAAAAGGUUCUCCAAACACUUGGGAGUCAUAAAACAACAAUGAAGAUUGUGAGUCCCUUGAUCCCAAAAAGUACCAGGAGAUAAUAAAUCAACUUAGCAUCAGACCCAUCUGUUCCAGACCCCCUUGACCAGAGUUAAUCUCCACUUUUAUUGCUCUUCAGCCUAAAAGCAAAGCAGAGGGUGGGAGACAUGUCUGUUACCUGAAAACACAAACUCAGCUCAUGCUUAGUAUGAUCCAAUUCAUUCAUUCAUCACUGAUAGAUCACCAACCUCUCAUGGUUUUUGUAUCCAAACGUAAGUGUGUACUACUUGUUGAACAUUACAGGAUGACCAUCUGUAACAAGUUUCCAUAUUUCGUGUACUGGUGCUAUCAAUGUUCGUUUGAUCAGACAUUUGCUUACAUCAUCAAGAUACUGUAUCAAGUGUAUCGUGCACUAUACACUCAAUAGCAGCACUCAACAAUUUACAGCCCAUCUCUGAGUUUAGGAGAAGACUAAAAAAACUUCAAACAUUAAUACAAAAAACUGACACUAUAUACAACAAUUCUCCUAAUUUCUCAUCACCUUCAUUCCUCAUUUAAAUCUUACACAACCUUGUGUCUUAAUUUUCAAUGACUGAUUCCCCUCUUUUUUUUAAAUCAAUCUUCCUUACGGUCCAAGUCUAGUUUCAGAUAACACUCUUAGCAGUCUAAAAUCUCUGCUCACCCUUCUUCUACCUGGAAUGUAAGUCGUAAACUGAGGAGGCUGCGGGUUCUUAUCUGAGACCCCGUGCAGAUUGACUCUACUUUGCCUGAACCCGGGUUCAUUUUUCACACCUACCCACUUUUUAAAUUGCGUGCACAUGAACCCAGUAAAUCCGAUUGACUCCGCUGUAGUACAUCCCUCAGGCCUGUUGGUGGCGCUUUAAGGUGCUACAGACAACUGAA
ensembl:lncRNA